rnacentral:rRNA from 1 species
AGGACGAACGUUGGCGGUGCGCUUAAUGCAUGCAAGUCGAGGGAUAACCAGUCGUUCCGUAAGGUUCGGCUGGGGAAACCGGCGAACGGGUGCGUAACACGUGAGAAACCUGCCCCGAAGAUCGGGAUAGCCCGGGGAAACCCGGAUUAAUACCGAAUAUCCUCUUUGGACCACAUGGUCUGUUGAGGAAAUGGUCCGCCGCUUCGGGAUGGUCUCGCGGCCUAUCAGCUAGUUGGUGAGGUAAAGGCUCACCAAGGCAAAGACGGGUAGCUGGUCUGAGAGGACGAUCAGCCACACUGGGACUGAGACACGGCCCAGACUCCUACGGGAGGCAGCAGCAGGGAAUAUUGCACAAUGGGCGAAAGCCUGAUGCAGCGACACCGCGUGCGGGAUGAAUGCCUUCGGGUUGUAAACCGCUUUCAGGAGGGACGAAAAUGACGGUACCUCCAGAAGAAGGCCCGGCCAACUACGUGCCAGCAGCCGCGGUAAUACGUAGGGGCCAAACGUUGUCCGGAUUUAUUGGGCGUAAAGGGCUCGUAGGCGGUUCAACAAGUCGAUCGUGAAAGCCCGGGGCUCAACCCCGGGACGCCGGUCGAAACUGUUGUGACUAGAGUUCGGUAGAGGUGAGUGGAAUUCUCGGUGUAGCGGUGGAAUGCGCAGAUAUCGAGAGGAACACCAGUAGCGAAGGCGGCUCACUGGGCCGAAACUGACGCUAAGGAGCGAAAGCAUGGGGAGCAAACAGGAUUAGAUACCCUGGUAGUCCAUGCCGUAAACGAUGAACACUA